rnacentral:lncRNA from 1 species
CCCACUUCCCGUAAUUCUCUCUAAAACUAAAUCAUCACCCUCUCAAUUAAAACACUUAGUCACAUCAAAUUUGAAGGCCGCUUCACCACUGCAACCGCUGGAAAACAAGGAAUCGCUUCAUCACUGCAACCGCUGGAAAACAACCGCCGAUGUACAAGUAUGGAGCAAGUGGUUCGUCACGAGCAUAACCGAGUAGGGCCUUCUUCCAUUUUGUCGUGCCUCUCGUAGUCUCGUGUAGCAAUGUAACAGUAAACGACCCAGUUGAGUCUAAAAGGCAGGACCAUUGGUCUUCGCCCCGACGCACACUAGCUGAUCUAAUCAUAGACAAC